AUGCACCCGAAGGUGUUGUGCUGGAAUGUGAGGGGCCUCAACAAUCCAGCUAAAAGGAAGGCCGUUCGGGAGUUUGUGGAUACGGUUAAGGUGAACCUAGUUUGCUUCCAGGAAACAAAAAUGGAUGUAAUAGACCACUAUGUUGUAAUGCAAUGCUUGGGGCCAUCGUUUGAUGGUUUGUGUAUGUGCCAGCGGUGGAUACGUGUGGAGGCAUACUCUUGGCGUGGGAUAGCUCGGUGCUGCUGGUAG
rnacentral:rRNA from 1 species